ACGGGAGGCAGCAGUGGGGAAUAUUGCACAAUGGGGGAAACCCUGAUGCAGCGACGCCGCGUGAGUGAAGAAGUAUUUCGGUAUGUAAAGCUCUAUCAGCAGGGAAGAAAAUGACGGUACCUGACUAAGAAGCACCGGCUAAAUACGUGCCAGCAGCCGCGGUAAUACGCAUGGUGCAAGCGUUAUCCGGAUUUACUGGGUGUAAAGGGAGCGUAGACGGCGAGGCAAGUCUGAAGUGAAAUGCGGGGGCUCAACCCCUGAACUGCUUUGGAAACUGUUUUGCUAGAGUGCAGGAGAGGUAAGUGGAAUUCCUAGUGUAGCGGUGAAAUGCGUAGAUAUUAGGAGGAACACCGGCGGCGAAGGCGGCUUACUGGACUGUAACUGACGUUGAGGCUCGAAAGCGUGGGGAGCAAACAGGAUUAGAUACCCUGGUA
rnacentral:rRNA from 1 species